rnacentral:rRNA from 1 species
CUUUACGCAUGCAAGUCGAACGGUAACAGGUCUUCGGAUGCUGACGAGUGGCGAACGGGUGAGUAAUACAUCGGAACGUGCCUAGUAGUGGAGGAUAACUACUCGAAAGAGUAGCUAAUACCGCAUGAGAUCUACGGAUGAAAGCAGGGGACCUUUGGGCCUUGUGCUACUAGAGCGGCUGAUGGCAGAUUAGGUAGUUGGUGGGGUAAAGGCUUACCAAGCCUGCGAUCUGUAGCUGGUCUGAAAGGACGACCAGCCACNCUGNGACUGAGACACGGCCCAGACUCCUACGGGAGGCNGCNGNGGGGAAUUUUGGACNAUGGGCGAAAGCCUGAUCCNNNAAUGCCGNGUGCANGAUGAAGGCCCUCGGGUUGNNNNCUGCUUUUGUACNNAACGAAAAGCCUGNGGCUAAUAUCCCCGGGUCAUGACGGUACCGUNNGAAUAAGCACCGNNUAACUACGUGCCAGCAGCCGCGGUAAUACGUANGGUGCAAGCGUUAAUCGGANUUACUGGGCGUAAAGCGUGCGCAGGCGNUUUUGUNAGACAGUGGUGAAAUCCCCGGGCUC